UGGCGCCCGACGUGGGGCUCCUGGCACAGAGGAUUCAAUGAGGGAGCCGUUUGGAGAUGCCGGCCAAAAGUGAAACUAAAGGUCCGAGGCCUACAGUAUGCAGGAGCCUGCCGUGCUGCUAGAGCCAUGGUAAGUGAACAGCGAUCCCUUCCCCCCUUCCCGGCAUGAGUCAAGCAUUGAGUGACCACGAACUUUUUGUGGGAGGUCUAAGUAAGGUGUUAAAGACAAGAGGGAUUAAGGCUAAAUAAAAAGAUUUAUUACAAUAUUUUCAAUUUAUUCAUAAGGUUUG
rfam:Cavia porcellus supercont2_79 genomic scaffold, whole genome shotgun sequence.